CUUAAAUCUUAGAGUCAAGCGUUAACCUGGAACUUGCUGUGUCUGUGCACCGAGAUCCACCACGAGUCUUUCCAAACAAGCUCUUUUGUAGGGAUGGAACUUCCCCCCCACCUAGCGGCGAAAUCACAGACCAACACAAAAUGCGAGUGAGUAGCGACGGAUUGUGCAGCACGGAGAUGGCACGCCGAAUGGCUGACACUGUACGGAUUUGAUACUUGGGUUAUUUAUGUGACACUUCAAUAGAGACAGCCUUAAGAUGUGCAGCUGUGGGUGAGCUGGAAGGUACUUGAAUACUGUAGAGGUGAGUUAUGCGGCUUAAGAACCUGUAUAGCUUAGAGUAUCACCAAGGUCACAUAGCAGAUAGCAG
ensembl:lncRNA